GGGAUCUCUGGCCCGAGCCUCCGGCCGUCUCUGAGCAGUCUCCGCACCGCCUCUGAGCCUGGAUCUCUGCUGGGUCUCGGGCCCCCUAGGGCGGCUCCGAGGAAUGAGACCCCGCCCUUCCUCCUGUCAAUCCCCCUUGUCCCGGCCCCCCGACGGUCCCUCCUCCUCCGCCUCCUGCGCAUGACCGGAAGCCCCGCCGCAGUCAUUCUCUCAGUACGCAGGCGCGGCGGCCGCUUGGGCUGGCGGCUCCGCGGACAUGGGCUGCUCCCCCCUCCCCACGUGGGCUUGUGCUCGGCCGGCCCGAGGCUUCGGACCCCCCUGAGGAGGGGGUCGGGAGAGGGCGGAUCCGGCGGUCUGCAAACAUUUAGUAAGCGCCUGCCGGGCGCCAGGGCCGGGCCUCGGUUUCCCCCUCUUGCUGCUCCCUCGCAGCUCUCAGUCUGUGAUUCUGCCCAGCCCCCGCCCCCCCCGCAGAGGGGGCCCUGCGUGUGGGGGUCAGAAUCGGCUUCCCGUGGUGCUCCGGCAUAG
rnacentral:lncRNA from 1 species